CCGCAAUGCCUUGGAGAUAUGACUGAAGGACAAGGUGACAGUAAAGUGAGGAAGCUGGGAGACACUAAAUAUUUUUGUUUCCUUUUUUUGUUUGUGUUUGAUUGGCUGAGGGCAAGGAGCUGGGGAUUUAUGGAAUACUGAUGGGGCAAAAGUAGAGAUAGUUCAGAAAGUAUAAUUAAUCCAAACUACAGUAGGAGAUGAAAUCCAUAGUUCCUGUGAGGGAAUAAUAUUACACAGCAUUGGCAUUUGCUGACUUGAGGCAGAAGGAAGAGGGAAAAACAGAUACUAAAAGCCGCUACUUUGCAUUUAGCGAUGACUUCAUGGACUCUACAAUAUGACAAGAAUCUGCUGGAGGUCAACUUUCGUUCCAGUUGUGUACUUCAUAAUCCGCAUGGGAAACAUUCGAAAUGUGAACUCAAUAGUUCACCAAAAACAAUAAGCCAGGUGUUGCGGGGAACACACAAAAAUGGGAGCACGAGAUUAAAGAACAUGUGGACACAAAUGAGUCUCAGGAACUUCAAAGUGCAUUUGCCUAUUAGGUUCCUGAUAGCAAGAUACAGCUGUAGCCAUCUGACAGUUUUCCCUUCCAGGUUCAAAUUUCUAGGUUCAGAUUCUCACUUAAGAGGAUUACGAUGGAUCACGUUGGGUAGAUCUUUACAAUAGGCCAUCAGUUUCAUCUCUUUGAAGGAAAUCUCAACAUAUUUACCUAACAGGCAACCUUUCAGAGUUUGUGACAGGCUUACUCCAUUCCAUGAGAAGUACAUGCUCGUUGGUUGAUUGACCUACUGAUACAGAAGAGGCUAAUGUGGCUCUAUGGCUAUCCAAUGGAAGCUCAAAGAAGAUCCUCACAGUAUCCUGAUUCUGAUGGUGGUGACGCCUGUGUACACAGUGAUAAAUUGACAUGCAACUCUACACAUUCAUUGUACCAACGCCAAUUGCCUGGUUUUGAUAUUGCACCAUAGUUAUGGAAAAUCUAACCAUUGGAAGAAACUGCAUAAUGGACACAUGAGACUUAUUUGUAACCAUCUUCCCAACUUUCUUCGACUGUGUAUUUAUUUCAAAAUAAAAAGUUUU
rnacentral:lncRNA from 1 species